UUACACACAAAAAAAGUUAAUCCAUCCGUCUUUAUUUCACACAGGGUGAAGACUUACUUACACUAUAAAAAAUGGAUAACGGUACUUCAUUGCCUGUAGCUCCGCUGGAAGUAUCACGUUCCUUUCAAAAGGUUGGGGUGGCAGAGCGUCAGAUGUCAAGAUCAUCAGACAAUCAGGAUUCAUAUCUUCACUGGAGACCACCAACCACCAACCCAGACACCAGAUCUUGGACCGAUCGGGGGUUUUACCCCUCAGGAGGACUUUGCUCUGUUAGGUGUCGGUCUAAUUACCUCAGAGUUCACCAAAGGGAGGAAGCUGCUGUCGAAGAAUCUCCAACGUUCUGAUACGUAUUGAGCGUGCGAUCGACGUCUUGAAGAACAGGUUUCACAUCCUCGACGGCUCGCUUGCUGUGCAGUUUGUGAAGCGUCUGCGAGAUGAA